GUGCCCACUUUGACAGCACAUAUACUAACAUUGGAACAAUACAGAGAUUAGCAUGGCCCCUGCGCAAGGAUGACACACAAAUUCGUGAAGCUUCCAUAUUUUUA
ensembl:snRNA LOC120097307 U6 spliceosomal RNA